rnacentral:rRNA from 1 species
UGGGGAAUAUUGGGGCAAUGGGGCGAAAGCCUGACCCAGCAACGCCGCGUGAAGGAUGAAGGUCUUCGGAUUGUAAACUUCUUUGGUCAGGGACGAAAACAAUGACGGUACCUGAAGAACAAGCCACGGUUAACUACGUGCCAGCAGCCGCGGUAAUACGUAGGUGGCGAGCGUUAUCCGGAUUUACUGGGUGUAAAGGGCGUGUAGGCGGGUUCAUAAGUCAGAUGUGAAAUCUCCAGGCUUAACCUGGAAACUGCAUCUGAAACUGUGAAUCUUGAGUGUCGGAGAGGAAAGCGGAAUUCCUAGUGUAGCGGUAAAAUGCGUAGAUAUUAGGAGGAACACCAGUGGCGAAGGCGGCUUUCUGGACGAUAACUGACGCUGAGGCGCGAAAGCGUGGGGAGCAAACAGGAUUAGAUACCCUGGUAGU